CCCAAGCAGGAGACGCUCAGGGAAUCCUGGGUCUCCCAGGAGAGGGGUGGGGAUGGAGGCAGUCACGCGCGGAGGGCACGGGUGGGAGAUGGCACGUCCUGAGCUUCUGCCCUGAGAGAGGCCACGGAGGGCAGAGCCCAUGCCGCCCACCACUGGUUCCUCUAUGGCUGCUGUUGCUGGUGCCACUCUAAUGCCAUUACCAAUACCGCUGCUGCUGCUGCUGUCACCAUGCCCGCCGUUGCUGCUGCCACCACCUCCACUGCUGCCAUUACCAUGACUAUUGGCAUCACGACUGCUGCCGAUGCUGCUACUAACUUCUGUUACCACCACUGCCGCCGCUGCUGCGAUGGUGACGAUGACUGUGACGAUGACCACCGCUGGCAACAGUGACAAACUUAACCGCACCUAAUCCCUACAGGGCUUUCUAGGCAGCAGACCCUGCUCCGUGCCCCUGGGAGGCCAGGUCGUGUUCCCACUUUACAGCCAGGGUAGCUGCCCCAGGGGCAUCAGGACGAGUGCAGAGGCCACACGGGCAGGGAUGGGGCCCUGGCAGACCUGGGCCUGUGCUCCUCCCAGAGAGCCAAUGCCCAGGGACCUGGGCGCUGGGACCACCAGCUUCUGGCUUUUAUGAGGCCACCUGAGAGGAGACCAGAGCAGGCAGGUGAUGGCAGGUCUCUCAGGGGAUGUGAGACGCUGGGUGUCCUUGUCUCAGGUGAGGAUGCAGCGGGUGGCAGACCCAAAGUGACCAAACGGAGCGCUGGCACUCUGCUGAGCCCAGCCUGUUAACAGCACGGGCUCUGUGUGCAGACGCCUGGCUCAAAUCCCAGCUCCGCCUCGUGCCAGCUGUGUGGCCUCAGGCACAUUGCGUACCAUCUCUGAGCUUCCAUCUGCUCCUCUGUGAAGUGGGGGAAGUGGCAGCACCUGCCUCCUGAGGCUGGUGUGAGGGUUACGAGCACGAAACGCCAGGACAGUGCCCCGAAAGCUCUCAGCUGGUAUUCAUGCGAUCAUUACAUUAUCGCGGACGAGUGGGCCAGGAUUUAAAUAACUCUGACAGUAAAUGUCAAUUUAUCCUUCCCAGAGCUCCAGAAACAUCCAGCAACACCAGGGAGAAGCAAUUAGGUGCUGCCGUCAGGUGUUGCCGAAGCGGAGGUUUCCGGAAUCUUCUCUACCCCCAGGAGCGCUGUCUGCCGUCCCUCCCGUCCUGCAGCCCACACUGCGGCCCGUGGGCAUCGCCGCCAGGCGGUGCUUCAUCCCUUCCCCAGUGCCGCUGGCCACCAGCCAGCCUGAGCUCCCUGCCACUUUGGGCUCAGACAGGACCUCGGAGGCUGGGCGCCAGGCCAGCCUGCAUUUCCCUGGGCAGGGGGUGACCCGCUGGCCAGCCCCAGGUGCCAUGUGGCCACUCUGGGCCGAGUCAGAGUUAAUCCCCGGUGUUUCCCGCGUGUGCCCGUCCACUCCUUGCUUCUUUGGCCGCCCAUCAUGGUCGCGGUCAUUGCCACAGCAGGCUUGGUGACGGGGCCUGCACCACGCCUCGCACGGGCGGACACCCAGCUGCCCUCUUGGCUCUGAUGGGAAUCGAGGCUGUAAGCGGCUGCUCCUGAGGCGGAAGAGGGGCUUCAACCUGUCCCACCGGCGCAGGGAGGAAGGCGUGGGCAGGGCCCGCCAGGGGCCAGCCGUGUGCUUACAUCUCCAGGAGCACUGUCGCCAGCGUCAUCCAUUUCUCUUUUUAUAAAAGGCAGGCAUGUGGUUUGGUGACGGAGAAUGAAAAACCCUCCGCCAGGUGCGGGAAGCUUGGGUUUUCACGCCUGCAUUUGGGCAUUGGAUCAGACCAGGCACCUGCGUGCAGGAGGCAGCGUGUGGGCAGGGCCCCAAGAGGCGAAGGCCGGAACCCCAGCCCCCGGCGACCGGCAGCCUGAGCAGGCAGGGUGGGCAGAGGGCUGCCCCAUCUGCCCUGGGGGCACACACUGGGCGGUGCCUGGACCCCAUCCCUGGCAGAUCCCCUGACCGGCACCUCGCUUUUCCAUUCGCCCCUCCCUGGCUUCCUGCCCCACCUCUGCCCCGCCCCGCGCCCUUCCUCAGGCCUAUCAGGGCUGGACCUGUUUAUCCAGAUGGACCAGGAAACGAGUCCAGCCUGAGACAGACAGCAGCAGCCAGCAACCAUGGGUGGAAACUGGAAAUUACCCGAACGCUGGGGAUCGCUGGGGAGAAACACGUGUGGAGGCUGGGGCAGAAGGACGGGGUGCCUCCGGUGACCGCUGGCACUGCCCCGGGCCUGGGGCCCACAAGUGCGGGUCACUGGUGCUGCAGCUCUCACCCCAACCCCGGGCGGACCUUUCCAGAGCCACCGAGCAGCUCCCCCUGGUGGGACACAAGACGGGCCCACUCGGGCAUCACGGAGGGUGGACGUUUGUGGGGGUCCUAGAGGGCGGGCAGGAGUUUGCCACUUUGGGGCCGCUGCUGCCCUGGGCAGAGAGCCCUCAUACAGGUCCAGGCUGUUGGGGACACGUCUGGGGCCUGGGGAACUUCCUCAGGCCAGUAGUGCAGCCUGUGAAGAGCUGCAGGUGGCUGUCAGCCAUGGGGCGCCCAGGGACUCCUCCGGGAAAGCCCUUGCCAGCCCCAGGUCACACCGGCACUGCUCUCAGCGGGGUCCUCUCACCUGGGCCUGCCGUCCUGUGACCCUGCUCACCGGCUGUUUAAGCUUAUGUGGCACAGGGGUGCAGUCACAAGGUGAUGGGACCCCAAGGUCAUCCAGGUCACAUCCAACCAUGGGGCAGCGCCCAUGCCUCCAGGGACGCGCGCUCACUUCCUGCCUGAGAGGAGAAGGCAGAGGCCUUGGGGCCAGACCACAAUGUCCCCGAGGCAGCCACCACAGGCCUCCCCCUUGGCCGUCCACCAUAGAGAGCAGAUAGCUGACGGGCUCACAGCCUCAUCUUAGGGAGGGACACCAGUCCUGGAGCCCUGCUGGCUAGUGGGUGGCCCCCCAAAGCUGGCUGCACCCCCCAGGAGCUGCCAGCCUCCCUGCAAAGGGCACUCGGGGCCUGUGAGAUAACAGCACAAUCAGGGCCCCUACCCUGCCGGGCACUGCAGAGAGGCAGAAACUGUUGUUACUAAUCGGUGACUCUAAAUUACACGGCAGUGACAGAUGUUGUGAGCACUGGAAAAGCGCUGUCAAGUAAUUGGCUUAUUCUCACAAGCGGAGAGGUGAUUUGCUACCAGUCAAAGGGCAUUCGGCCACCUGCAUCGCUGGACAGAGGCUGGCUGGGGACAGCUAAGGACCCAGGAGACCCCAAGAACCCUCCUGGUCCCCAACAUCCGGGGACACAUACUGCCAGCCCAGAGAGGCCUGGGCUUCCCCGAACUCCACUAAGCAUCUCCCACCAGGUGGGUCUCCUCGGCGCCCCACCCGGCCAUGGCUGUGUAGCCCUCAUGCUCACGCCUGCGGUCCCCUUGCCUGGGAGCUCCCAGGGGGUCCCAGCCUCAGCAGCAGCCUGCGGGCACUGGCGGGGCGGGGUGGCCCAUGCCAGACAGAUGGAAGCCACGGAGAAGGGCAGACAUCACCGCUCACCUCCAGCAAUGCUGCGCAGCAGGGCUCGUGCCGACCCACCGGUCCCCGCGGGUCUGGGCUGCGGCCCUCUCCUACCAGGGCCCCUGAGACACAGGUUCGGAGCUGCCCCCACACAGGACGGGAGGCCGCCGACACCAGCCCCUCGAGUCCAGGCCGGCCCUCGGGCCUCACUUGCUGGCUCGCUUUUCUCCGGCAUUCUGUGCCCACCCACACCCAGCUGGGAGUGCUUUCACCCCAGGAUCAGAACUGAGCAUGCUGUGGGGCUGCUGGUGAAGGGAUCGGAGCGACGGUCCCUGUGGCCCGAGCUGCCCGCUGACAGCACGCCUGUCCCGGUGGCCACCCGCCCCAGCUGCCGUUCCUACGUGGCCAGGCUGCGGUGCCUGCCCUCAACGCUUCCCCUGGAACGCCCUAUGAAGGGCAUAAAAAUCCAAUACUCAAAUCACCAGUGCCUUGUAGAUGACUAAAAUUAAAACCUAAUUGAAUUUUCCUGGGGAAAAAUAUCUUGUGGAAAUUUAAUUAAGGAAGUUAAA